AAAAGCAAUAGACCACUUGCACAUUGUUUGGUGAUUAGUCAUACCGGAAGUAUGUAACUUCGGAAUUUCGAAAUCUAUAUUGACUGUACCAAAAGGCGGGCAGAAUUUCCAAAUCCGCCAUUGUAACCAGGGUAAACAAACACAUUUCCGAUUGACUAUGGUGAACAAAAAUUGCAUGUACGGGGUUUGUAAGAGUGACAGUAGGUACCCAGAGAGACUCGCGGAGAAGGAUGUGCACUUUAUUCCGUUCCCAAAGCCAUUACGGAAUAGAGUGAAGUGUGAAAGAUGGAUAAGAGCCUGCGGACGACCUGACCUGAACGUUGAAAAAGUGACGAAAUAUAGCUACAUCUGCUAACUGCACUUUGUAAGGGGGGACGGUCCGACUGAGGAAUAUCCCGAUCCUAUUCCUGCAGGCGCCUGUGAAGCUGAGAAGGAAAAUUUCAUGCUGCAGAACCGGAAAAGAAGGGCACCAAUAG
rnacentral:lncRNA from 1 species